UGACCUAUAGCUCAAUCGGCAGAGCGUCCGACUGUUAAUCGGAUGGUUGUAGGUUCAAGUCCUACUAGGUCAGC
rnacentral:tRNA from 1 species